UAAAAUUUGAACAUCUGUGAUUUCAGCUCAAGUCCUUCAACAUGAAGAGCAUCUUUCUACUUAUCCUCUCACUAAUAACAGGAACUGAGGCCUCAACAGAGAUACAAAUAUGUGUGGAAGGAUGGGUGGAAAUGACAUGGAAAUAUCCUUGUGCCAAACAAAAAUAUAAUAAACUCCAAGUAGUUUUACCAACUGAAACCAUACAGAGCAAUCAGACAAACAAAAUGGAAAAUCAUGGCAAAUAUGUAUUUUACCAUGAUACAUCGGAAAAAUAUCUUAGACUAAUGGUAUGGUCAUGUAACUCAACGGACAGUGGAACUUAUGGUUUUAAUUGUGAUGACAACACAAAAAAGAGUAAAGUAAAGAUUUGUGAGAAAAAAUACUGCAAGAAACGCAGUCAAACUGCUUACCGAAGAGCUAAAAUGACCAUCAAAUGUGAUUAUCCAGA